rnacentral:tRNA from 11 species
GGCGAGAUAGCUCAGUUGGCUAGAGCAUACGGUUCAUACCCGUAGUGUCGAGGGUUCGAAUCCCCCUCUCGCUACUA